CUCUCUCUCUCUCUCUCUCUCUCUCUUCUGUUCAUGCUCACUCAUGCACUCUCUCUCUCUCUCAGAAAAAAAAAUUUUUUUUUCUGAUACUUUCACAUACAUAGAGAUGGAGCACCUCUACACUACCAGUAAAGGUUCUUGGAGAAACCACAUUAAUAAAUAGAUAAAAAUGAGAAUUAGAAUUUCAAUUAUAAAAUAAACAAAGGCACCUAAAAAUAGCUUUAUUUUCCCCUUUGGUGUUUAGGUUUUUACUUGUUUCUGUUUUACUUUGUUUUUGCUACCAGGUAUAGAGUAUUUCAUGACUAAGUAGCACCUUGCUUACAUGGAUUUUCUCAUUUAAUCCUCAGAACACUCCUGCAAGGUUGGUAUUAUUACUCCAUUAUAUACUAUAAAAUACUCUCAAAAGAUUCAAAAAGGUCUGUCUGGCUCUUCACCUCACUACAGAUUUUCAUAAAGCCUACCAGCUCUUACCUAAGAAUGCAGAAAACCAAGAGUGAACACCUACUUUAUGUCUAGGAAGUCAUGUACACAGCAGAAGCUCUUAACCAAUCUGCAAUUAGCCAACUCCAGGGUGAACUUCACCCUAUAAAACAUCCUAGCUGAUGCCCAUUAUUACUUGGUGCUCACAGCUAGUAAUCACAGAUUGUGGCAAGCUCAUCAAAUUCUCCUCCUACCUUUGAGAAGAUGGUUACGAAGAAUCAACUGUGUUUGCUCCCAAACAGACUUAUGCUGGUUACACUUGCUACUGAAAUUGUGUAAUUCAAUUAAAUAUUAUGUAAAACAAUUA